rnacentral:rRNA from 1 species
UACGUAGGGAGCAAGCGUUGUCCGGAAUCAUUGGGCGUAAAGCGCGCGUAGGUGGCUUCGUAAGUCCGUUGUGAAAGUCAAAGGCUCAACCUUUGAAAGCCGAUGGAUACUGCGGAGCUAGAGUACGGAAGAGGCGAGUGGAAUUCCUGGUGUAGCGGUGGAAUGCGCAGAUAUCAGGAGGAACACCAAUAGCGAAGGCAGCUCGCUGGGACGUUAACUGACACUGAGGCGCGAAAGCGUUGGGGAGCAAACAGG